GCCCUUGUGGAUCAUGGGAGAUCACCUCAAAGCUUUUCCACUGGGACAGAGCUUGCUUGCAUGAGGAGGUGGAGGUUCGAAUCCUCCCGAGGGCA